UAUACAACUAGAUCUUAUUACGUUUAUAAAGUAAUACUGUUGUUUAUAAUCAGAUGAAACCGGACAUCAAGCUGGUGUUUAAAGUAGUUCUUUAUUAUCAAUUAGGCUUUAUAAAAUAAACUUUAAUAGAGAUGUUUAUUUUACAUGUUUUUGAAUUAUCUAUUUCGAUAUUAAAACAUAUAUUGAAAAUAGAUGAUCUCUGCAUGUGAAAUAAAAUUGAAUCUAUACAUAUUUUAUGUCUCGGGGGAAAUACAUAAUAAAAAUAUAGGAGAUGCCAAUAUUUUAAAUAAUAAAAGAAAUUUUCUUUGAAAAGACGUAAAGAGAAUGAUAUAAUGGGAAAAUAAUAAUGAUGAAAACUAAAAGAUUUUCAAGAGUUAUAGAAUAUGGCUAACUGGAAAGCUUUACAGCGUGGUCUCGUCGUUGUCUUUGUGAGUGAGCUAUUUCCGUUCGCGAACGGUGAAUCAAUGUCUUUCUCCGGCGAUAAAUUUAGUCUUUGGGGUGACGCGACUCCAACAUUUCAAACUCCCUUUUUCCUGAUUCUGUAAUUCAACUGCUAAUUGUCAUUAUAUUCUUUGAACUAUUGAUAUUCGUCAAAGUUGAAUCAGUCUGGACACUCAAUCUGUUCUAAGUAGACGGAUGGGAACCAUAUGAAAGACAUCUGUUACUUCACCCAGACUUCCUUAGGACAUCUCUAGCACUCGGCGGUCUGAAAGCAACUGAACUGAAAUCCAUCCAAAGAGCUUGAU